GGGAGUGUAGCUCAGCAGUAGAGUUUGUGCCUAGAAAGCACAAGGGCUUGGGUUCAAUCCCUGGUAUCUCCA
rnacentral:tRNA from 1 species